rfam:Schistosoma rodhaini strain Burundi genome assembly, scaffold: SROB_scaffold0012659
GCACUGCUGAGGAGUCCCAUAAUAGGACGAAACGGCCGUCCAGUGU